rnacentral:misc_RNA from 1 species
CUGCCCUCAAGCCCGGCUUGUGUGUUGGGCCUCCGUCCCCUGGGACGGGGCCCGAAAGGCAGUGGCGGCGUCGUCCGAUCCUCGAGCGUAUGGGGCUUUGUCACCCGCUCUUGCAGGACCGGCCGACGUCCAGUCGACCUCCAAUCUUUCUCCAGA